ACUGGAGUGAGUAGCCAUUCCCUUCUCCAGGGUGAGAGGUGCCUACCUAGGCCUAUUUGGGCUGCUCAGUGUCCAGUUCUGGGGGCCUAUGGUUCUGGCGAACAGGAUGGAUGGGCAGGUAGCUGCAAGCCCCUGUGCUCAGCUCAAUCUAGCACAGAGGGGCUGGACCCUGGGUAGCAGCGGGGGGCAAGGAGGUGGUACAAGGCCGGGAAAGCGCACCUGUACACAUCAGACCAAGUGCUGGGCAGCCAUCAGGGCUUUCAAGACCCCAGACAGGCUGACCGGUAAUUCACGUAGCCUUACAUGACCCAGCAGGACACUUCUCAAGCUGAGAGCUGCUGCUGGUGUGGGGACAGCCAAGGGAAAGUGGGAAGAUCCCUUCUCUUCCCCUCAACUCUGACAGCCUAGGAAACACUACAGGAGAGGGACUGAGUCGGGCAGGGAAUCCAGAGCUGGCCAGAUACCAAACCUUCAUCUUCCAAACACACCCAAGACCUUGCACCUUCGACCUAGCAGUGCUAACAAACAGCUACCCAGGUCACACAGCGCCCAAAGCCCAGCCUUCCCAUGACCGCAAUCUUAAGGCAAACAUGGGACAUAAACAAAAGGCAGGCAAGACGACCUCCCUUCUGGCCCUUCCCGCUCUAAACGUCCUAGGGAGACCGCCCCACAGGGCAUGAACACAAACCACAGAAAAAGAGACCCAACUUUAACCCCUGGAAACCCUGCACCGUGGGGAGGGAGGGUGUUUCCGGCUAAAAAGUCCUUCCCAUGAAAGCUGUCCCUGCGACAGGUCAGCCCUGUGUCCCCAAUCUCUCAGGGGAGGUGUCUGGGUGCCCAGGUGCCUCCAGCCAGCUCAGCUCCCCUCAGCCUGCCCUUGGCCUGCUGCUGCUCCUCUUUCAGGGCGAGUUUGCCCCUAGUCAGGGCCCAGCUCGCAGGGGCGGGGCGGGCAGCACGGCUUCCUCCCCGCCCCCAGCCCCAGGUGACACUCGGGCCUUUGUUCUACCUGCACACCUGGGCUCGGCAGCUCCUCCCCAGCCCUCUCCAGGCAGGCUGGCGGGCCGGGGGUGGGGCGGGUGGCCCGCAGGUGCAGGGGAGAGGCCCCUCACUUCUCCCACUUUCGAUUUGGGCGCGAGAGCCGCGCGGGGAAGCCAGGUGGGCUACACGCGCACAGAAACCCGCAAUCCCGCCCGACGACACAGGCCAGCCUGGACGCAGAGCUGAGGCCUGACAGAGCCUUUGGACACAUACAGAAGAGAAUAAAAAGCAAGUGAAGUGGUUGGUGAGCCCACCAGCCUGAGGAGCCCGUGCUGGCCUUUCUGGCCCUUUCCUCAGGGACUGCAGUGCUGACCGUGGGAAAAAGCUGCUGGUGGGGCCUGGGCAGGAUGGCAUUGUCCCGUGUCCCUCCCAGCCCGUAAAUCCUCCUCAGCCAGAGCCUGAAGUGUCUGUGGGAAGAUUGAUGGGAACUCCAUGAGUGUCAGCCAUCCCUGCCCUGGGACCCUUGUGAUUCAAGUCCCCCUGCAGAGAAUCUGAAGCUGUCGCUUGCAGAACCAGUGACAUUCCUGAUGUGGAGGGGGGGAAUGUGGAGGAUCUAGGGUCACCUCCAGGGGACCUGUGAGGUCAGGGGUGGCCAGAGCCCAGAGCCUGCCCUGGGUCUGCUUGGCGGGAAGCAUCUCUGAAUAAUGAAACAUUUAUCUUC